rnacentral:rRNA from 1 species
AUUGAACGCUGGCGGCAGGCCUAACACAUGCAAGUCGAGCGAGCGGCGGACGGGGGUGUAAUGUGUGGGAAACUGCCUGUGGGAGAGGGGUAACUACAGGAGAAGGUAGCUAAUACCGCAUACCAUCAGGGGUGCCCAGAUGGGAUUAGCUAGUAGGUGGGGUAUAGGCUCACCUAGGCGACGAUCCCUAGCUGGUCUGAGAGGAUGACCAGCCACACUGGAACUGAGACACGGUCCAGACUCCUACGGGAGGCAGCAGUGGGGAAUAUUGCACAAUGGGCGCAAGCCUGAUGCAGCCAUGCCGCGUGUGUGAAGAAGGCCUUCGGGUUGUAAAGCACUUUCAGCGGGGAGGCGUUACCCGCAGAAGAAGCACCGGCUAACUCCGUGCCAGCAGCCGCGGUAAUAC